rnacentral:tRNA from 1 species
GGGGGGUUAGCUCAGUUGGUUAGAGCGCCAGUAUCACACACUGGAGGCCGACGGUUCGAGCCCGUCACUUCCCACCA